rnacentral:rRNA from 1 species
GCAUAUCAAUAAGCGGAGGAAAAGAAACCAACAGGGAUUACCUCAGUAACGGCGAGUGAAGCGGUAACAGCUCAAAUUUGAAAUCUGGCUCUUUUAGGGUCCGAGUUGUAAUUUGUAGAAGAUGCUUCGGGUGUGGCUCCGGUCUAAGUUCCUUGGAACAGGACGUCAUAGAGGGUGAGAAUCCCGUAUGUGACUGGGUGUCUAUGCUCAUGUGAAGCUCUUUCGACGAGUCGAGUUGUUUGGGAAUGCAGCUCUAAAUGGGUGGUAAAUUUCAUCUAAAGCUAAAUAUUGGCCAGAGACCGAUAGCGCACAAGUAGAGUGAUCGAAAGAUGAAAAGCACUUUGGAAAGAGAGUUAAACAGUACGUGAAAUUGUUGAAAGGGAAGCGCUUGCAACCAGACUUGCGCGUUGUCGAUCAUCCGAUGUUCUCACCGGUGCACUCGACUGCGUUCAGGCCAGCAUCAGUUUCGGUGGUUGGAUAAAGGCCUUGGGAAUGUGGCUCCUCUCGGGGAGUGUUAUAGCCCUCGGUGCAAUGCAGCCUACCGGGACUGAGGACCGCGCUUCGGCUAGGAUGCUGGCGUAAUGGUUGU